rnacentral:siRNA from 1 species
CUGGCUUUCACCCAGGAG